rnacentral:lncRNA from 1 species
GAAAACCCUCCACACGCCUCCUCUCCUCAAGAUACACCAAAAAUCACAACUCAUACCCACUGGAAAUAUGUUCUCACCAAACCUACCUAUCCUUCAUGCAUUACCACCUGACCCACCUGACAUUCUCAUGACCCAUUCAUCGUACCCCUUUGAUCUUUAAUCAUGAUUGAAGGGUGUCUUUUUGUCUCUCUCUAGCAGGUCAUGCCACUCAUCCCCCUGCAAAAACAGGCCUCAGUUCAGACUGCCCACAGAGAAAUACAGUAUCUCACCAGCCCCUCCUACCUCCCCUAAUCACACACACAUUUCAAUUUCUACCAGGAGCUUUACAGAAGUUUUUCAGAGCAGCUGUCUCUCCUCCUCAACAAACGCAAGUUUCAUAACCGCAUUCAAAACGUUCGAUCUACGUCUGCAAAUAUCAUCCGUCUCAGAGAAAAUCUGUGAGUACAGUAUAGGUACCCUUUUUUUGUUUUAUGAAUUAAACAUUUUUAAAUUAUGUUAAACAACAUUAUUUGAAAUGAUUUACUUUGUCAAUUUACAGCAGU